rnacentral:rRNA from 1 species
GACGAACGCUGGCGGCGUGCCUAAUACAUGCAAGUCGAGCGCAGGAAAUCGACGGAACCCUUCGGGGGGAAGUCGACGGAAUGAGCGGCGGACGGGUGAGUAACACGUAAAGAACCUGCCCUCAGGUCUGGGAUAACCACGAGAAAUCGGGGCUAAUACCGGAUGGGUCAUCGGACCGCAUGGUCCGAGGAUGAAAGGCGCUCCGGCGUCGCCUGGGGAUGGCUCUGCGGUGCAUUAGCUAGUUGGUGGGGUAAUGGCCCACCAAGGCGACGAUGCAUAGCCGACCUGAAGGGGUGGUCGGCCAGACUGGGACUGGGGCACGGCCCAGACUCCUACGGGAGGCAGCAGUAGGGAAUCUUCCACAAUGGACGAAAGUCUGAUGGAGCAACGCCGCGUGAACGAUGAAGGCCUUCGGGUCGUAAAGUUCUGUUGUAAGGGAAGAACAAGUGCCGCAGGCAAUGGCGGCACCUUGACGGUACCUUGCGAGAAAGCCACGGCUAACUACGUGCCAGCAGCCGCGGUAAUAC